GACGAACGCUGGCGGCGUGCUUAGCACAUGCAAGUCGAACGGUGAGGCCCUUCGGGGUACACGAGUGGCGAACGGGUGAGUAACACGUGGGUGAUCUGCCCUGCACUUCGGGAUAAGCCUGGGAAACUGGGUCUACUACCGGAUAGGACCCUGGGAUGCAUGUCCUGGGGUGGAAAGCUUUUGCGGUGUGGGAUGGGCCCGCGGCCUAUCAGCUUGUUGGUGGGGUGAUGGCCUACCAAGGCGACGAAGGGUAGCCGGCCUGAGAGGGUGACCGGCCACACUGGGACUGAGAUACGGCCCAGACUCCUACGGGAGGCAGCAGUGGGGAAUAUUGCACAAUGGGCGCAAGCCUGAUGCAGCGACGCCGCGUGAGGGAUGACGGCCUUCGGGUUGUAAACCUCUUUCAGCACCGACGAAGCGCAAGUGACGGUAGGUGCAGAAGAAGGACCGGCCAACUACGUGCCAGCCGCCGCCGUAA
rnacentral:rRNA from 1 species